rnacentral:rRNA from 1 species
GACGAACGCUGGCGGCAUGCCUAAUACAUGCAAGUCGAGCGGACUUGAUGAGAAGCUUGCUUCUCAGAUAGUUAGCGGCGGACGGGUGAGUAACACGUAGGCAACCUGCCCUCAAGCUUGGGACAACUACCGGAAACGGUAGCUAAUACCGAAUACUUGUUUUCUUCGCCUGAAGGAAACUGGAAAGACGGAGUAAUCUGUCACUUGGGGAUGGGCCUGCGGCGCAUUAGCUAGUUGGUGAGGUAACGGCUCACCAAGGCGACGAUGCGUAGCCGACCGGAGAGGGUGAUCGGCCACACUGGGACUGAGACACGGCCCAGACUCCUACGGGAGGCAGCAGUAGGGAAUCUUCCGCAAUGGGCGAAAGCCUGACGGAGCAAUGCCGCGUGAGUGAUGAAGGUUUUCGGAUCGUAAAGCUCUGUUGCCAGGGGAGAACGCUUGGGAGAGUAACUGCUCCCAAGGUGACGGUACCUGAGAAGAAAGCCCCGGCUAACUACGUGCCAGCCGCCGCAGUAA